rnacentral:rRNA from 1 species
UACAGAGGGUGCGAGCGUUAAUCGGAAUUACUGGGCGUAAAGCGCGCGUAGGCGGCUUUGCAAGUCGGGUGUGAAAUCCCCAGGCUUAACCCUGGGAACUGCAUUCGAGACUGCAUUGCUAGAGUGUGGGAGAGGUAAGCGGAAUUCCUGGUGUAGCGGUGAAAUGCGUAGAUAUCAGGAGGAACACCUGUGGUGUAGACAGCUUACUGGACCACGACUGACGCUGGAGACACGAAAGCGUGGGUAGCAAACAGG